rnacentral:pre_miRNA from 1 species
UUUGAAAUGGUUCAGCUCCUAUUCAAGGCGCGGUUUGAUUAGGACUUGCAUUUCAAAU